GGUUAAGCGACUAAGCGUACACGGUGGAUGCCCUGGCAGUCAGAGGCGAUGAAGGACGUGCUAAUCUGCGAAAAGCGUCGGUAAGGUGAUAUGAACCGUUAUAACCGGCGAUGUCCGAAUGGGGAAACCCAGUGCAAUUCGUUGCACUAUCGUUAACUGAAUACAUAGGUUAACGAGGCGAACCGGGGGAACUGAAACAUCUAAGUACCCCGAGGAAAAGAAAUCAACCGAGAUUCCCCCAGUAGCGGCGAGCGAACGGGGAGCAGCCCAGAGUCUGAAUCAGCUUGUGUGUUAGUGGAACGGUCUGGAAAGUCCGACGGUACAGGGUGAUAGUCCCGUACACCAAAAUGCACAGGUUGUGAACUCGAAGAGUAGGGCGGGACACGUGGUAUCCUGUCUGAAUAUGGGGGGACCAUCCUCCAAGGCUAAAUACUCCUGACUGACCGAUAGUGAACCAGUACCGUGAGGGAAAGGCGAAAAGAACCCCGGCGAGGGGAGUGAAAAAGAACCUGAAACCGUGUACGUACAAGCAGUGGGAGCACCUUCGGGUGUGACUGCGUACCUUUUGUAUAAUGGGUCAGCGACUUAUAUUCUGUAGCAAGGUUAACCGUAUAGGGGAGCCGCAGGGAAACCGAGUCUUAACUGGGCGUUAAGUUGCAGGGUAUAGACCCGAAACCCGGUGAUCUAGCCAUGGGCAGGUUGAAGGUUGGGUAACACUAACUGGAGGACCGAACCGACUAAUGUUGAAAAAUUAGCGGAUGACUUGUGGCUGGGGGUGAAAGGCCAAUCAAACCGGGAGAUAGCUGGUUCUCCCCGAAAGCUAUUUAGGUAGCGCCUCGUGAACUCAUCUUCGGGGGUAGAGCACUGUUUCGGCUAGGGGGUCAUCCCGACUUACCAACCCGAUGCAAACUACGAAUACCGAAGAAUGUUAUCACGGGAGACACACGGCGGGUGCUAACGUCCGUCGUGAAGAGGGAAACAACCCAGACCGCCAGCUAAGGUCCCAAAGUCAUGGUUAAGUGGGAAACGAUGUGGGAAGGCACAGACAGCCAGGAUGUUGGCUUAGAAGCAGCCAUCAUUUAAAGAAAGCGUAAUAGCUCACUGGUCGAGUCGGCCUGCGCGGAAGAUGUAACGGGGCUAAACCAUGCACCGAAGCUGCGGCAGCGACACUAUGUGUUGUUGGGUAGGGGAGCGUUCUGUAAGCCUGCGAAGGUGUGCUGUGAGGCAUGCUGGAGGUAUCAGAAGUGCGAAUGCUGACAUAAGUAACGAUAAAGCGGGUGAAAAGCCCGCUCGCCGGAAGACCAAGGGUUCCUGUCCAACGUUAAUCGGGGCAGGGUGAGUCGACCCCUAAGGCGAGGCCGAAAGGCGUAGUCGAUGGGAAACAGGUUAAUAUUCCUGUACUUGGUGUUACUGCGAAGGGGGGACGGAGAAGGCUAUGUUAGCCGGGCGACGGUUGUCCCGGUUUAAGCAUGUAGGCUGGUUAUCCAGGCAAAUCCGGAUAAUCAAGGCUGAGGUGUGAUGACGAGGCACUACGGUGCUGAAGUAACAAAUGCCCUGCUUCCAGGAAAAGCCUCUAAGCAUCAGGUAACAUUAAAUCGUACCCCAAACCGACACAGGUGGUCAGGUAGAGAAUACCAAGGCGCUUGAGAGAACUCGGGUGAAGGAACUAGGCAAAAUGGUGCCGUAACUUCGGGAGAAGGCACGCUGGUGUGUAGGUGAAGUCCCUGCGGAUGGAGCUGAGACCAGUCGAAGAUACCAGCUGGCUGCAACUGUUUAUUAAAAACACAGCACUGUGCAAACACGAAAGUGGACGUAUACGGUGUGACGCCUGCCCGGUGCCGGAAGGUUAAUUGAUGGGGUUAUCCGUAAGGAGAAGCUCUUGAUCGAAGCCCCGGUAAACGGCGGCCGUAACUAUAACGGUCCUAAGGUAGCGAAAUUCCUUGUCGGGUAAGUUCCGACCUGCACGAAUGGCGUAAUGAUGGCCAGGCUGUCUCCACCCGAGACUCAGUGAAAUUGAACUCGCUGUGAAGAUGCAGUGUACCCGCGGCAAGACGGAAAGACCCCGUGAACCUUUACUAUAGCUUGACACUGAACAUUGAGCCUUGAUGUGUAGGAUAGGUGGGAGGCUUUGAAGCGUGGACGCCAGUCUGCGUGGAGCCAACCUUGAAAUACCACCCUUUAAUGUUUGAUGUUCUAACGUUGGCCCCUUACCGGGGUUGCGGACAGUGUCUGGUGGGUAGUUUGACUGGGGCGGUCUCCUCCCAAAGCGUAACGGAGGAGCACGAAGGUUAGCUAAUCCUGGUCGGACAUCAGGAGGUUAGUGCAAUGGCAUAAGCUAGCUUGACUGCGAGCGUGACGGCGCGAGCAGGUGCGAAAGCAGGUCAUAGUGAUCCGGUGGUUCUGAAUGGAAGGGCCAUCGCUCAACGGAUAAAAGGUACUCCGGGGAUAACAGGCUGAUACCGCCCAAGAGUUCAUAUCGACGGCGGUGUUUGGCACCUCGAUGUCGGCUCAUCACAUCCUGGGGCUGAAGUAGGUCCCAAGGGUAUGGCUGUUCGCCAUUUAAAGUGGUACGCGAGCUGGGUUUAGAACGUCGUGAGACAGUUCGGUCCCUAUCUGCCGUGGGCGCUGGAGAAUUGAGGGGGGCUGCUCCUAGUACGAGAGGACCGGAGUGGACGCAUCACUGGUGUUCGGGUUGUCAUGCCAAUGGCACUGCCCGGUAGCUAAAUGCGGAAGAGAUAAGUGCUGAAAGCAUCUAAGCACGAAACUUGCCCCGAGAUGAGUUCUCCCUGAGACUAUAAGUCUCCUGAAGGAACGUUAAAGACGAUGACGUUGAUAGGCCGGGUGUGUAAGCGCAGCGAUGCGUUGAGCUAACCGGUACUAAUGAACCGUGAGGCUUAACCUU
rnacentral:rRNA from 1 species